rnacentral:lncRNA from 1 species
CUAGUAUUUUUAAAAAUUCAUGAUAUAUUGAAGGGUAAAAUUGUGAAGUCAUAUUUUAUCUUAAAUUAAAUGAAACGAAAAUAAAAUAACUCAUUUAACCCUUUCUCCACUAAUCUAUCAAUUCAAUUCUCUUCUUCCCUAAUCGGAAUAAUCCCUCAUCGGCCAUCACCGACCACAACUACCACCAUCAGUCCAACACCAACUUUCAUCACUAUCACCACCAUCAAUAGCAAUCCACCGCACACAGCACCAUCCCUAUCAGUCGAGCUAGCACUACCACUCAACCCACCACCACCACCCAUCACACCCAAUCAUCCCCCACCACAAACAAAUAAACCAUAACCCACCGCAAACGAAACAACCGAACUCCACCACAGCACCAAAGAUAAAAGAUGAAUCAACCAUCGUCCACCACCACCACCUCAAAAUAACAUCUCUAAUUAAACAUUCAAAGAUAAAAGAACACUUUAAAUGCAGAUCUGGAGAAAAAGAAGAAAGAUUUGAAUAAAAAAAGUAGAUCGGAUGAAGAGAUCUAGAAAGAGACGACAUGGUAUGUUGAACAAGAUAACUGAAAUUUUAAAUCCACCAUCAUAAAGUUCGAUUCUAUCUCCACCUCAUAAUUAAAAUUUCGGCGACCUUCUC